rnacentral:snRNA from 14 species
GUUUGACCUACCCGCGGUAUGCAGGUAGCCUGAAACUGACCCAAAGAAAUUUGGCGUUAGCUAUAAAUUUUGGAACGUCUCCUUUCGGGGAGACAAA